CACGUAGGGGGCGAGCGUUGUCCGGAUUUAUUGGGCGUAAAGAGCGUGUAGGCGGCCAGGUAGGUCUGCUGUGAAAACUCGAGGCUCAACCUCGAGACGUCGGCGGAAACCAUCUGGCUAGAGUCCGGAAGAGGAGAGUGGAAUUCCUGGUGUAGCGGUGAAAUGCGCAGAUAUCAGGAAGAACACCCGUGGCGAAGGCGGCUCUCUGGGGCGGUACUGACGCUGAGACGCGAAAGCGUGGGGAGCGAACAGG
rnacentral:rRNA from 1 species